UCCCUGGUGGCUCAGACGGUAAAGUGUCUGUCUAAAAUGCAGAAGACCCGGGUUCAAUCCCUGGGUAGGGAA